rnacentral:rRNA from 1 species
GUGGGGAAUAUUGGACAAUGGGCGAAAGCCUGAUCCAGCCAUGCCGCGUGUGUGAAGAAGGUCUUCGGAUUGUAAAGCACUUUAAGUUGGGAGGAAGGGCAGUAAGUUAAUACCUUGCUGUUUUGACGUUACCGACAGAAUAAGCACCGGCUAACUUCGUGCCAGCAGCCGCGGUAAUACGAAGGGUGCAAGCGUUAAUCGGAAUUACUGGGCGUAAAGCGCGCGUAGGUGGUUUUGUAAGUUGGAGGUGAAAUCCCCGGGCUCAACCUGGGAACUGCCUCCAAAACUGCAUGACUAGAGUACGGGAGAGGGUAGUGGAAUUUCCUGUGUAGCGGUGAAAUGCGUAGAUAUAGGAAGGAACACCAGUGGCGAAGGCGACUACCUGGACUGAUACUGACACUGAGGUGCGAAAGCGUGGGGAGCAAACAGGAUUAGAUACCCGGGUAGUCC